rnacentral:lncRNA from 1 species
AAAAGCACAAAGCCCAACUCCGGAGUUGCACUCGUGGGCUCUACUCAACCGAGUAUGCAAACAUGUCUCUGCUGAGCUCAAUCAGGCUCUCACAGACUAUAAUUAAAUCAAAUGGGUCUAACAACCAAAGCUCACGUACCCUUGGCAUAAUCUGAUGCAAAUACAGAAAUCUGGGUCCACCAUCAACCCUGACGGCACCUGACAGUUCGAAACAGUCUAUACACUACUGUAAAAAUAAACUCGGCAUCCCAGCACGAGUGUAAACCCAUUCUACACUAAUCUGGAUAUCUACUACAAACUGCGACAAUACAAACAAACCACAGCUCCUAAAGCAAAAUCUGGUAGUUUUCAGAAAAUAGCAGCGUAGGAUCUACAGUUUUCUCCUAAGUCAAUUCCAAGUCCAACAUGUAAAAUUAUACUACUACUACUUAACUCCAAAUUCAGAUUUUAAGCUUAAUCCAUAAAUUUGAUUACUAGCAAUAACAUAAACACAUGCUACAU